GUGCGAGAAGGCCCUGGGCGUCCCGCGACACAGCACCGAAAAGAACAAAAUCCAGCAGUAAUCUUGAGAAGAAGAAUUCACAUUUAAAGUUCGGCAAGUGACAGAGCAAAGAGUGAAGAGAAGCCCACAUUAAAAUGAGAUGGGAUGAGAAGAAAAGAAGGAAAUCCGUGUGAUCCUGGAGGAAAACCCUUUGAAUAGAACCAAGGUGGAGAUUGGAGGCGACGUCCGCCAGCUCCAAUUUCAGCGGGAGGACAGGCUGCCCCAGAACCAGGCUCUGUGCC